UCCAAGCUGAGCCAUGCUGGCUCAGGAAUUCUGGGAGUUCAAGUUCACAAGUCAUAAAAGAGCCAAGAUUGCCUACCCCUACCCUAGGGGGUGAGGCAUACACCUAAAAAUCAAGCAAGGGCAGGGGUGGAGGGGGUGGAGUUGCCCCACCUGCCCCGUACCCACUUACCUUGCAAUCAGGCCUCUCCUUGCCGGCCCACUACUUCUUCUGAGGCCUCUUCUGCAGCCUGACCUGCAUUUCUCAGUCACACGGCUUUCCGGAAGGCCUGUGCAUCCAAGAAACGAGCUAUGGAUUCAAUCCAUAGUUGGGUUCUGCAAAACCUCAGCAGCCGAGCACCAAGCUAUGGAUGGAAUCCAUCGCUCGGUACUCGGCUGCUUAGGCCUUCUGGAAAGGCCUGACUACAAAAUGCAGGCCCGAAUGCAGCUACAGAACAUCGGCCCCAGAAGAAGUGGACCGGCUGGGUGGGGCUGUUGGUGCCGGAGGUGAGAAAAGCCAACAGCAGGGCAACUUUCUAUAAAUCAUUACAACCCCUGGAAAUGAAACAAAACCCCAAAGGAGCGUGUGAUGUCUGGCACUUUGAUUCGUAACAACAAAGGCAUCCCCCUCUCCUAAUGGCAGCAAGCUUUGGAGAAGAGAAAGACUGAAGUCACCUUCUGCAGUAUAAGGUUCAAGUAGACGCUCUCCUCCCAAUCA